rnacentral:rRNA from 1 species
UACGAAGGGUGCAAGCGUUAAUCGGAAUUACUGGGCGUAAAGGGUGCGUAGGCGGUUCGUUAAGUCUGUCGUGAAAUCCCCGGGCUCAACCUGGGAAUGGCGAUGGAUACUGGCGAGCUAGAGUGUGCCAGAGGAUGGUGGAAUUCCCGGUGUAGCGGUGAAAUGCGUAGAGAUCGGGAGGAACAUCAGUGGCGAAGGCGGCCAUCUGGGACAACACUGACGCUGAAGCACGAAAGCGUGGGGAGCAAACAGG